rnacentral:rRNA from 1 species
UACGAAGGGGGCUAGCGUUGUUCGGAAUCACUGGGCGUAAAGCGCACGCAGGCGGAUCGAUAAGUCGGGGGUGAAAGCCCGGGGCUCAACCUCGGAAUUGCCUUCGAUACUGUCGGUCUCGAGUCCGGGAGAGGUGAGUGGAAUUCCUAGUGUAGAGGUGAAAUUCGUAGAUAUUAGGAAGAACACCAGUGGCGAAGGAGGCUCACGGGCCCGGUACUGACGAUCAGGUGCGAAAGCGUGGGGAGCAAACAGG